GACGAACGCUGGCGGCGCGCUUAACACAUGCAAGUCGAGCGAAGCGGCGGACGGGUGAGUAACCCGUGAGUAACCUGCCUUAGACAUUGGGAUAGUCUCGGGAAACCGGGAUUAAUACCAAAUGGUCUAAGAUGGACUCGCGUCCCAUUAGAUAGUUGGUGAGGUAACGGCCCCCCAAGGCGACGCUGGGUAGCCGGCCGGAGAGCGUGAACGGCCAUACUGGAAGGUAGAAACAGUCCAAACUCUACGGGAGGCAGCAGUGUGGAAUAGUGCACAAUGGAGGGAACGCUGAAGCAGCGCAGCCGGGUGACCGAAGAAGGCUUUCGAGUCGUUAAGUUCUUUUAUAUGGGAAGCGGUACCAUAAGAAAAAGCCCCGGCUAACUACGUGCCAGCAGCCGCGGUAAUUC
rnacentral:rRNA from 1 species